rnacentral:misc_RNA from 1 species
GGCUGCACCAAAGGUAUUGUAAUUAUGGGUACUCCUUCCAUUGCUUCUAGGAAAUGAAUCAUUUAUUUCAUAUUGGCUGUUGAAUCACAAAUGGUUGAGGUGUUUUACCAGAGUAAAAUACAUCCUUUCGUAUCUUUGAAGUUCAUUUGUGUUGGUCCUUUUGUCCAAACAUUGAAUUUAUUUGUAAUUUGAUAUGUAAUAAUAAUAUUGUUACUCCUGUGCUUCAUAUAGUUUGAUGCCUUUAGUUUCCCUCCUCCUUGGAUCCAAUUUUUUGUAAAAUUCUAAAUAGUUGGUUGUGAAUAUAGUAAUGGUAAGGAUAAUUCAGGAUACUCAGACGUGCUUUGACAAGAUCAAUUAGACAUUUAGGGUUGGGUUUUGGCAAUUAGCAUUGGGAAGCAUCAUUUUUAGGCUUAACAAAGAUUGCAGGUGAAGGAUGUACUGGUUCAUCAUGUCUUUUCUUCCUUAUCUAUUUAAUAAUAAAAAAUUGAUCGUUAAAUGCAAGGGUGGUAACGGUUAGAUUAUGUUUAGGGAUGAUUGGUUUCCUAUAAUGAGUGAGUGCUUAAACUAUACUAACUCAUUUUGUGGGCAUAAAACCUUUGCCAAACCCAACCCAUAGAAGAAUUCUCAACCCUAAGCUGGCUUAUCUAUUUUAUUUGUUAUGAAUAUCUAAUUAUUAUUGCAUUAAUAAAUUAAAAUAAUUAAUCUAUUUCUCCAUUAGCAGCAAGUGAAAAGAGAUUAACAAGCAUGGCUUCAAAACCAUUGUCAAAAAUAAGAUUCAACCAACUCCAGAUGGAAACUGUCAAAUUGAUCCACUUAUCCUUGUUUGAAUAUGUUGCUACCAUUGACAACAUUAAGUUCUUGUCAUGACUAACUAGCCAUUCAAGUUUGUUUGGUUCCAUUCCUUUCCUUCUGCUUUUAUAUCCUGUUUGAUUCUAUAGUAAACCAUUGGACCUAAAUAUGUAAAUUU